rnacentral:RNase_P_RNA from 1 species
CGAGUCGGCCGGGCGACCGCGUGCGAGGCCCGCCCUAGCGGUGUGGCCCCGCCCGAGGAAAGUCCGGGCUCCGAAGGGCAGGGUGGUUGCUAACGGCAACCCGGGGUGACCCGCGGGACAGUGCCACAGAGAACAGACCGCCCGACCGCUCGCGGCCGGGCAAGGGUGAAACGGUGGUGUAAGAGACCACCAGCAUCCCGGGUGACCGGGAUGGCUCGGUAAACCCCACCCGGAGCAAGGUCAAGACGGCCGACGUUACGGCGCCGGCCAGCGCAGGCGCUCGAGGACGGCCCGUCCGAGCCUGCGGGUAGACCGCUCGAGCCUGCCGGUGACGGCAGGCCCAGAUGGAUGGUCGCCGUCCGGUACGACGCUCGCGCCGCACCGGACACAGAACCCGGCUUACCGGCCGACUCGCCCG